GGCUGGUCCAGAGGUAUUGAGUUACCUCAAUUGAUUUUUCACAGUCACAGAUUGAACUCCUUAUUUUGCUCUUUCCCCCCUUCUCACUACUGCAUUUGAUUAGUAAAUA
rnacentral:Y_RNA from 1 species